CCACCAAGGAAAUUCCUAUACAAGUUAAUAAAUGUUCUGCUAAUGUUGCUUUAAGCAGCAGCCUCUGGAAUGGCUCUAGGGCAGAACUGGUUGGUAUCUGAUAUGACAGCACAAAACUCUUCCCACAAUCCUGAUUUCCUGCCCUUUGCAGCAUUUCCCUGAUGGCGGUAAAGGUGCUUGUGCCGUGUCCCUUUCCAGGCAGGAAGGAGCCAGAGCAGCCGUGUUCCUCUGCAGUGCCAGCGCUGUCCCGCCGGCAGAGCGGCGUUUCCUGCAGGUGAGCGCUCACAGCCCAGAGUCCCGCUGGGGCUGAGCCCGGGGCUGCUGCUCGGAGCCCUGGGGACUCCUGCUCCCUGCCAGGAGCGGUCCCGGCGCUCCCUCGGUGUGUCCCAGCUGGAAGGCGGGGCGGGAGGAGGAGCCCCGGGCAGGGCCCGGCCCCUCUCUCCUCGGUGGCACCGGGAGGAGCUGUGCCCCGGGCUCUGCCCGCGGCAGGCAGCGUGCCAAGCGCGUCCCGGGACGGGCGCCGGGAUGCCCGGGCAGCGCCGGGAUGGACACGGAUCCAGGGCUGCCCGCGGCUCUCGGCCAGGGGCUGCUCUGAACGGGCCCCGGAGAUGCUGCAGCCCGGGCAGAGCCCGCUGACAUCCCAAAACCAGCCGAGGAACAGCUGGCAGUGCCGGGAGUGCCGGCACGUGGGGGCUGCAGAGGAGCUCCGGCAGCAAUUCCCGGUGCCCGCCCCCUGGAGCUGCCACACAGCCACCAGAAAUUCCAUCCCGAGCAGUGCCCUCGGAGAUGCCUUAAAAUGCAAGGUGGGCGUCAGAUGAAGUUUUGUUUGGAUGAAGUUUGGAGUUUUUCAGGGAGCCAGCUGGAACUGCAGAACGGAUGGGAAGCUCCCACAGGUGGGUCCCACUGCAGGCGCCCUGGGGGCAGGGCUGUGCAUCCCUUUCCUCAGGGAAAAGAGCUCCCAGAGGCGCUGCCGAGGCUCUGGAAGGAGCUCAGCUCUGCAGGGAGAGAUGUCCUG